GCCCUCCUAGCUCAGUUGGUAGAGCACUUCCAUGGUAAGGAAGGGGUCACCGGUUCGAGUCCGGUGGAGGGCU
rnacentral:tRNA from 4 species